rnacentral:hammerhead_ribozyme from 1 species
ACACAGCUGAGGAGUCCCGAAUUGAACGAAACGCGUGUCCUGGAU